AUUGAACGCUGGCGGCAUGCUUUACACAUGCAAGUCGAACGGUAACAGGUUAAGCUGACGAGUGGCGAACGGGUGAGUAAUGCAUCGGAACGUGCCCGGUCGUGGGGGAUAACGCAGAGAAAGCUGCGCUAAUACCGCAUACGAUCUGAGGAUGAAAGCGGGGGACCGUACGGCCUCGCGCGAUCGGAGCGGCCGAUGUCAGAUUAGGUAGUUGGUGGGGUAAAGGCUCACCAAGCCAACGAUCUGUAGCUGGUCUGAGAGGACGACCAGCCACACUGGGACUGAGACACGGCCCAGACUCCUACGGGAGGCAGCAGUGGGGAAUUUUGGACAAUGGGCGAAAGCCCGAUCCAGCAAUGCCGCGUGCAGGAAGAAGGCCUUCGGGUUGUAAACUGCUUUUGUACGGAGCGAAAAGGUCUCCUCUAAUACAGGGGGCUCAUGACGGUACCGUAAGAAUAAGCACCGGCUAACUACGUGCCAGCAGCCGCCGUAA
rnacentral:rRNA from 1 species